GGGGCCAUAUCAUGUUGAAACACUGGUUCUCAUAUGAUCACUGAAGUUAAGCAAUAUUGAACCUGGUCAGUACCUAGAUGGGUGACCACUUGGGAAUACCAGGUGCUGUAAG